rnacentral:rRNA from 1 species
GAUGAACGCUGGCGGCGUGCUUAACACAUGCAAGUCGAACGAUGAAGCCGGAGCUUGCUCUGGUGGAUUAGUGGCGAACGGGUGAGUAACACGUGAGUAACCUGCCCUUGACUCUGGGAUAAGCGUUGGAAACGACGUCUAAUACCGGAUACGACCUUCGGAGGCAUCUCCUGAGGGUGGAAAGAAUUUCGGUCAAGGAU